CGAAGGUGGCAAGCGUUGUUCGGAUUUACUGGGCGUACAGGGUGCGUAGGCGGUUCGGUAAGCCCUCCGUGAAAUCUCCAGGCUUAACCUGGAAAGUGCAGAGGGGACUGCCGGGCUAGAGGACGGGAGAGGAGCGCGGAAUUCCCGGUGUAGCGGUGAAAUGCGUAGAGAUCGGGAGGAAGGCCGGUGGCGAAGGCGGCGCUCUGGAACGUUUCUGACGCCGAGGCACGAAAGCGUGGGGAGCAAACAGGAUUAGAUACCCUGGUAGUCCACGCCUUAAACGAUGGAUACUAAGUGUCGGCGGGUUACCGCCGGUGCCGCAGCUAACGCAGUAAGUAUCCCGCCUGGGAAGUACGGCCGCAAGGUUG
rnacentral:rRNA from 1 species